CCUACGGGAGGCAGCAGUGGGGAAUAUUGCGCAAUGGGCGAAAGCCUGACGCAGCAACGCCGCGUGGGUGAUGAAGGCCUUCGGGUUGUAAAGCCCUGUCGCCUGGGACGAACAAGCUCGUGAAGAACGAGCUCUGACGGUACCAGGAGAGGAAGCACCGGCUAACUCUGUGCCAGCAGCCGCGGUAAU
rnacentral:rRNA from 1 species